CCUUGGAUGCAAGAGCACAAACACCUCAGUGUGAAGGUUUCCUCUGGAGAAGGAGCAUUUCACUAUCCAACAAAAUGUUUAUUCCAGGAUUUUGGUUGAUUUCAUUAAUCAGAAAAUGCAUUUUAGAAGAAAAUGAGUCUCUGAUCUCAGGAUUUGUCUGAUCUCUCACGAUUGGGAUGGCCCAUUCCUAGAGGGGGAGAAGACCUGGAAAACACUGCUAGACCAACUCAAAAUUACAAAGUUUUCCAGAGCUUAUAUGUCUUCUAAGCCAUAUGUCUAUGUCUGCAGGAAUGUAGACAAUUCAGAGGCUUUGUUCCCCAUAAUUUGGAACUUUUCUUCAGAUUUGACCAAGUCGGGUAGAGAUGAUCAAACCUAAUGGGAAAAAGACUGAAACAACAAAAACAGAAACAGGCAAACACAACCAGCAGGCAGUCCUCUCUGGGCAGACAGGAGCCACAGGGAGGCAGAACAAGAACAAAAAGCGUUCAAGAAAAUCAAGGGAAAUCCUCUCCAGCAGGGCAGUACCUCCUAUUCCUUAACAGCAUCAGGAAUGAACCUGCCACAGAAGAAAAGGAGAAAAGAACUGCGGGCAGCUUCCUGGGAACACAGCUGGGGUACAGGUUGAAAGCACGACCUGCCCUGAUAUGCUGUUGACGCUGAGCAUGAAGCGACCUUCUCUGUGCCUGUUAUUAAUGAAAGGUAAUAUUCACUGAACACUUAGUAUACACCAGAGACUGUUACAGCCACUGUAGGAGUUUCACCUCAUUCUAUCCUUUCAACAACCCAAUACGAUAGAUGCUAUUAUCCUCUUUAGGAUAAAAUCGAGGAAACUGAGGUACAGUGAAGUCAGCAUCUUGCCCAAGGUGACACAGCUAUAAAGUGACAGAGCCUAGAGGAAAUGUGGCUGUGGAGACCGUGCUCUUACACAGUAAGGGCAGUGACGGUGAACUCUGGAUUGCAAGGAUUCUCUGUGUCCAUUCUGAGAUGAAUCAAGAUUGGUCAUAAGGUUUUAAGUGUUGAAUCUGGGUGAUGGAGAUCUGGUCUAUAGAGUUCUAUCUACUUCUGGCUGUUUGAAAUUUCUCCGCAAUAAAAACUUAAAUGGAAUGUAAAAU
ensembl:lncRNA novel transcript